GCAGUCGAGCGGAUUUAUCCUUCGGGAUAAGUUAGCGGCGGACGGGUGAGUAACACGUAGGUAACCUGCCUAUAAGAUCGGGAUAACUAUCGGAAACGAUAGCUAAGACCGGAUAACUGGUUUUCUCGCAUGAGAGAAUUAUGAAACACGGAGCAAUCUGUGGCUUAUAGAUGGGCCUGCGGCGCAUUAGCUAGUUGGUAGGGUAACGGCCUACCAAGGCGACGAUGCGUAGCCGACCUGAGAGGGUGAACGGCCACACUGGGACUGAGACACGGCCCAGACUCCUACGGGAGGCAGCAGUAGGGAAUCUUCCGCAAUGGACGCAAGUCUGACGGAGCAACGCCGCGUGAGUGAUGAAGGUUUUCGGAUCGUAAAGCUCUGUUGCCCUAGACGAACAGCAAGAAGAGUAACUGCUCUUUGUGUGACGGUAUAGGAGAAGAAAGCCCCGGCUAACUACGUGCCAGCAGCCGCGGUAAUACGUAGGGGGCAAGCGUUGUCCGGAAUUAUUGGGCGUAAAGCGCGCGCAGGCGGUCAAUUAAGUUGGGUGUUUAAGCCCGGGGCUCAACCCCGGUUCGCAUCCAAAACUGGUUGACUUGAGUGUAGGAGAGGAAAGUGGAAUUCCACGUGUAGCGGUGAAAUGCGUAGAGAUG
rnacentral:rRNA from 1 species